CGUGCAACGUGCACACACCUGGCCGCCGGCUGCACGGCAUCGAGGGGGCUGUCGGUCACCCCCAUGCCGCCGUCCGCCCCCACGCACGCUCCCUCGGCUGCACCCGGGGCGCCCCGCCUGCCCCCCAGGCCUGCCUCUCACAGCCGGCGCUCGCUAACAGGGCGAACUACGCCGAGUAGGGAUGAACACAGCGCAGCUUCUGAACGCGGACUGCCAGCCGGGACAGACCCGGAAAUUUAAACUCGGCAUCCAGAUUUGACCAACCAAAGAGAGGCAGAGAAAACAGACUUCAUGUAUUUAUUCAUUCAUUUAUUAUUUAUUUAUUAUUCUUUAUGGAGCCGGGCUCUGUCUUUGUUGUCAGUAUGGUCAUUUUUCACUUUCUUAAAAAAAUAAAUAAAUAAAAGCAACCAUA